rnacentral:lncRNA from 1 species
AUGAAGAUAUUUUCGGAGUCACCCUGCGCACGUAUGAAGUGACCAACCGCCUUAGAUCUGAAUCCAUUGCCUUCAUUGAGGAGAGCAAAAAAGACACAGAUGAGGUUUUCAGCUCCUAACUGGACCCUCUUGCUCAGAUGGAUGGCAGGGUUGCCGCCCCACGCCCUCGGCCGGGGUGGCUACAGGUUUUGUAAGCUCGGACACUGCUGAACCUUCCCUUUGGGCCCCUUCCCCCGUGGCCCCUGCUCUGCCUCUCGUCCUGUCACCGUGUCCUGGUCCUCCGCUCCUGGGUUCUCACUUCUCAGUGUGUCUCUCUCACCCUUUUGGGUUUUCUCCUUGAGUUUUCCUGCUGCAAUGCGAUGCCUUUAUAAUCCGCAGUGGCUUUUACAAAACUGUUUCCCUCUCUCUCUCUCUCUCUUUCUGACAAGGGCACAUCCCCAGUGCAUGAAACCACUGGAACAUGGCUGUGGCUUGUGUUAGGGUGUCUACUGGGGUUCACCCUGGAGAGGCUGCAGGGACCAGAUGCAAGAGUUUUCUGAGCUAGUUCCUCCGCCGCUGUUCAAACCCCCGCCCCCCAACCCCGUCCUUUUUUUACAAUGGUGUUCUGGACAUGUGUGUAUGUGCGUGUGAUGGGCCUGGGUCUCCCUCUGUCCUCUUGCUUGAGCAGACAUGCCGCCUGCACACCCUCAGUGCCAAGAAAUUUGCCCCAGCCCAUACUGAGGCCUCAUGUAUCCAUAAGUAAGGGUCUGUGCUAGUACCCAUAAUAGUCCUGGUUAUAAAAGAGCAGGGCGUGGAGGUGGGGUGUGAUGAGAGGAAGAUAUUCAGUGAAAGAGGGAGUCACAGAAUUAGAUGCAUCCAGAUACUGGUACCAGUUAGCGGAGCCCUUACUGGGAGAUGAACCCAUCUGCUCCCCAGCCCCACCCCACCUCAGCCAGGAUCACCUGACCUGGCCCUCCCCAGACAGUCCCACCCACAAGACGGGAAACAGUGUUGUCCAAGGGAAUGAGCUGGAAAUAAGUGUCUUCCCAUCUUUGCCACUGGAUGACAUUGGACAACGUCACCUGUCCUUCAUUUCCUGUAAUUAUAAUGUUAUGAAGCGGAAAAGGAUGGAUAGAUCGAACUUUAAACUUGUGGAGAUUGGAAACAAUAUCAAGGAAGGGCAUUGUUGUUGUUGUUUUAUUUCCCUAAAUGGGGCUUGCCGUUUCAGCCCUGGAAGUAAAAUACCAGAAGUCAGUAAAAGCAGAUGAGGCUGAAGAAGGAGACCAUCACGAGGCGCCUGCCGACAGCUGGGGCGGGGAGAACCUGCCACCAUGCUUUCGGUCUUCAAAAAGAGAUUCCCCCAGGUUUUUAACCUGAUAAAAGAAUUUUGACGAAUAAAUUAUCCUCAACGCAGAUUUUAAAAACAGGCAGUAAAGUCUUUUGGCAAGAAUCGGGACAGGUACAAUUGCUCCCAGUUGGACAAUCUGCUGAGUUCAUCUUCUCAGAGGAAAUGGGGUGGAAGUGUCCCUCUCUACCCUGAAGUGCUCAAAAUCAAUGGUAAGCAGCGCCCAGAGAGAGCCGGGAAACCCCACUGACCCCCAGCAACUGCCUCCCAGGCGUUGAAAGGAAGCCAUCAGCCAGUUCCGGUCUUCCGUCUGGUUUUGUUUCGUCUUAUGCUGUAGAAAGGCAGCCUUUUCUUUGGACGCAGCACACAGGCAUUGCUUUCUUGAUGCUUGGUGUGGGGGUCUGCCAAAGGGAGAGGGCUCUGUCCCUCCCCAGAAGGGCCCUAGAUCCGAGGUGCCAAAAAGGUGUCCCCAGGAGGGGACAACCUCAGAGACUCUUAAAGACAAAGGGGAAGCUCUGUCUCGGCUUUUUCCACCUUCCCUGGCAGCCCCCGCUGGUGUCUCAUCCAUGGGACACAGAGUUCGACUUCGUGCCAGUUUUGAUUUCCCUGCCUGACUUUAAUCCUAUUCACUCCUGCUCGGGCUUCCGUGGCACAGAAACCAAGCACUCAGCAUGCUCGGCCACCCCUCUCUGACCUGGAG